UACGUAGGGUGCAAGCGUUAAUCGGAAUUACUGGGCGUAAAGCGUGCGCAGGCGGUUGUGCAAGACAGAUGUGAAAUCCCCGGGCUCAACCCUGGGAAUUGCAUUUGUGACUGCACGGCUAGAGUGUGUCAGAGGGGGGUAGAAUUCCACGUGUGAGCAGUGAAAUGCGUAGAGAUGUGGAGGAAUACCGAUGGCGAAGGCAGCCCCCUGGGAUAACACUGACGCUCAUGCACGAAAGCGUGGGGAGCAAACAGG
rnacentral:rRNA from 1 species